CUUCAUUUGAUGUCACCGGUUCUACAGGAAGGGGUUGGACACCUCCUCCAUGCUCGAGCUCCAUGGGAACCGGAGGCUUUUGACAAGAGCUCGGUCGAACCACCGGGCGGGAGAGGGAUUUGUGAAAGCUCGCGGGGACACGCCCGCCGCGAUAACAGCAGUUUGUGUGGCUGGCUGGGUCCUACGACGAGUAGUCCGCGAUGAUGACUGAUGGUUAAACGGUCUUUGCUGACGCCACGGCUAGUUUGGAUGGAAUAACUUCUCUCACGUUGUUAACUGAUAACUAAACUAACUGGUUGCUUGCCUUCAUCCCGACGGCUUUAGCUUCCCGGCGGCGGUGCAACACCAGCGAGAUGUAAAGCAAGUUCACUACCGUAUGUUGAUAUGCUUCUGACAUAAAGAGGAGAGAAGAAGUGAGAGGCAGUGCUGAGGAAGAUGGAAGUGCAGAGCGAUGUUCAGCAUCUCGAGCCGCUCCCCCCCGCCGCCGCCGCCUCUCCCCCGCCGGGAGCCAAUCAGCGGAGUGAGUGUGAGGAGGGACACAGGGACACCGGGGCCUCCGCCGACAGCCACAGCGAGGACACUCCAGCCAGCCAGAGAGACGAGAUGAAACCCAGUGCAGGGGUCAGAGGGUACCACAGCCACAAGGCCUCAGACGCCCAGUGGGCCGCCAGUGAAGGAGGAGGAGGAGGAGGUGGAGGGGGCCCCUCUUGGAGUGGGAGCCCCCCCGACCACCACCCCACCACCACCAUCCCCACCACCACCAUCCCCAGCACCAGCACCGUGGCGCUGCCGCAGCAGACCUGCACCACUACCCGCCUCACCACCACUACCCGUCUCACCCCCACCCGUCCCACCACCACAGCCAGCAGCCCACUCAUGCCGGCUACACCUACUGCCCGCUGCAGCCAACGCUCUCUCCAAGCCCCUCCUUCUGUCUUUGUCUCUGUCUCUCUCUCUGUCUCUGUCUCUGUCUCUCUCUCUGUCUCUCUGUCUCUCUGUCUCUCUGUCUCUGUCUCUGUCUCUGUCUCUCUCUGUCUCUGUCUCUCUCUCCCUCUCUCUCUGGGUGUGUGUUUGGAACACCAUGUUCCUGCUCUUACCUCACAGCCCCGUCCUUAGGGGACCUCAGUCUUCAGCCUCGGCAGCAACAACCAGCACAGCAGGCAUCACAACUGUCAGGAGUGUUUCCAGGCUGUUGACCCAGACUGGGCUGGGUUGGGCCGGACCUGGGCUGGACUUCCCCCUGCAGCUUUCCCAGCGUGGAGACAACCGUCUGGUCCUUUUGCUGACUAACUGUAAUCGAUUCUCGCUCUGCGGCAUACUCACUUGGUAAAGCCUACGUUUGCCAAUAAAACAAAGGGUAGGGAGUGCAUAACUUGUGCGAGGAUGUAUAUGUUUUUAUUUUAUAUUUUAAGAUGACUAAGCAAACCUGUGUGUUCUUACUUUGGCAUUCAAACAUAUUUAAAAUAAAUCAAUUGUACAGAUUGGCUGACACAAUGUCCUUGGCAGAAAAGGAACACAGCAUACUAAUAAUACGACAAAGUAUGGGAAUACACCACAAUGGGAGUGUUAUUUAACCGUUGGAGAUGCAGACAACAUUGUGUGAAAGCGUCCUGGAUUUGGAAUUCAAAACACCUCCUCUAUCACUGAGGCCAUGGCUGC
ensembl:lncRNA